GUACUUGAGUUGAGCCAACCACACACUUGCAUUGACAAUAGUGCUACUCAACGUUUGGUUGGUCUUGAGUCCCUUGAGAAAUUAGAAAUUUCCCUGUGCGAUUCACUCAAGUCGAUUUCAUUCCCCAAGGGAGACAAGUACCUCACUGCCUUGCGCGAAUUAAAAAUUUCCUAUUGCGAUAGGUUUUCCCGCUUGUCCAUCCCCCAGCUAACUGAGUCAGAGUGGGAUUCCACUCCUCGGCCCUCCCUCUCCGCUACUUCUCCUCCUCCUCUUCUACUUCUCGAGAAAUUGAAAGUAGACUGCUGCCCCGAUCUGAUCUCCUUUCCAAUUGAUUUAACCCGAACACCUUCUCUCUCUACCCUGGUCAUAUCAUAUUGUCCCAAAUUAACGGACUUGCCCAAGGGGAAGCUUUGUUCUCUUACAAGCUUGAGAACCUUAUCGAUUGGACCAUUCUCAGAAACCACAGAGUUGCAUUCCUUCCUAUACCUCUUUGAUGCUCUCCCACCACCGCACCCCUACUUCCCCUCCCUUUCGGAAUUAUUUCUGCGUGGAUGGUCUCAUUGGGAAUCUCUGCCCGAGCAACUUCAGGGCCUCUCUGCCCUAACAACUCUUUUUUUAGAAGGUUUUGGAGUGAAAUCAUUGCCCGAUUGGUUUGGGAAGCUUUCGUCACUUGAACGACUUUGUCUCUUGGAUUGUAAAAAGCUAGAGAAUUUACCCUCUCACCAAUCUAUGAGAAGCCUCACCAGACUAAGAAAGCUGGAGAGUGACGGGUGUCCCCUUCUAAAGGAAAGAUGUAAACCAAAGAGCAGCAGUAGCAGCACCACCGAAUCCAAUUCUGAGUGGUCGAAGAUCUCCGGCAUUCCCCAAAUUGAAAUUGAUGAGCAGCAAAUCAGAGGCUAAUCCCCAUUUGAAGCUCAUAAAUAACGUCAGUUUUCCCAAUUAAAGCUACUAGCCUAACUUCUACUCAAUAAUUGAUGCGAACUAUUUUUCCUUCGUCCUGUGCGCUUUUGCUUUCUAGGCGGUUUUGAGUCUAGCUUGAGAGUCUACUCUCAGAUUGAUAAAUUGUGGAAGAAUAUAUGAGGCUGACAACGACAGAUC